GAUGAAGAACGCAGUGAAAUGCGAUACGUAAUGUGAAUUGCAGAAUUCUGUGAAUCAUCGAAUCUUUGAACGCAUAUUGCGCUCUCUGGUAUUCCGGAGAGCAUGCUUGUUUGUGUAUCAGUAAACACCUCAACUUCCAUAUCUUUUUUGAAAUGGGAGUUGGACUUGAGUGAUCCCAACGCUUUUCCUCACCGAAAAGUGGCGGGUUACUUGAAAUGCAGGUGCAGCUGGACUUUUCUCUGAGCUAUAAGCAUAUCUAUUUAGUCUGCCUAAAAAACAGAUUAUUACCUUUGCUGCAGCUAACAUAAAGGAGAUUAGUUCUUGUGCUGACUGAUGCAGGAUUCACAAAGACAGGCUUCGGCCGACUUUGUAAACUCGAUCUCAAAUCAAGUAAGACUACCCGCUGAACUUAAGCAUAUCAAUAAGCGGAGGA
rnacentral:misc_RNA from 1 species